rnacentral:rRNA from 1 species
UACAGAGGGUGCGAGCGUUGUCCGGAAUCACUGGGCGUAAAAGGCGCGUAGGCGGCCUGAUAAGUAGGGGGUGAAAUCUUGCGGCUCAACCGCAAGGCUGCCUUCUAAACUGUCAGGCUGGAGCACGGUAGAGGCAGAUGGAAUUCCCGGUGUAGCGGUGGAAUGCGUAGAGAUCGGGAAGAACACCAGUGGCGAAGGCGGUCUGCUGGGCCGUUGCUGACGCUGAGGCGCGACAGCGUGGGGAGCAAACAGG